UCCCUCAUGAUUUAAUGGUAAAAUAAUCGUCUUCCAAAUGAUUUUUGUCAGUUCAAGCCUGACUGGGGGAA
rfam:Phlebia centrifuga strain FBCC195 PHLCENscaffold_2975, whole genome shotgun sequence.